rnacentral:rRNA from 1 species
GCUUAACACAUGCAAGUCGAACGGAGAUUAUUAAUGAAGCUUGCGAUUUAAUAAUCUUAGUGGCGGACGGGUGAGUAACGCGUGGGCAACCUACCCAUAAGAGGGGGGAUAACAGUUGGAAACGACUGCUAAUACCGCAUAAGCUAUUAAGGUCGCAUGACCUUAAUAGUAAAGGUGGCGAAAGCUAUCACUUAUGGAUGGGCCCGCGUCUGAUUAGCUAGUUGGUGGGGUAGCGGCCUACCAAGGCAACGAUCAGUAGCCGGCCUGAGAGGGUGGACGGCCACACUGGGACUGAGACACGGCCCAGACUCCUACGGGAGGCAGCAGUGGGGAAUAUUGCGCAAUGGGGGAAACCCUGACGCAGCGACGCCGCGUGAAGCGAAGAAGGCCUUAGGGUCGUAAAGCUCUGUUGUAAGGGACGAAUGUUUAUCUGGCGAACAGUCAGAUAAAGUGACGGUACCUUACCAGCAAGCCCCGGCUAACUACGUGCCAGCAGCCGC